rnacentral:rRNA from 1 species
UAUGAAGGCUUCGGCUGGAUUAUUUAUUUCACCCUUGUCUUUUGCGCACUUGUUGUUUCCUGGGCGGGUUCGCCCGCCACCAGGACCACACCAUAAACCUUUUUUGUUAAUGCAGUCAGCGUCAGUACAACAAAUGUAAAUCAUUUACAACUUUCAACAACGGAUCUCUUGGUUCUGGCAUCGAUGAAGAACGCAGCGAAAUGCGAUACGUAGUGUGAAUUGCAGAAUUCAGUGAAUCAUCGAAUCUUUGAACGCACAUUGCGCCCUUUGGUAUUCCAAAGGGCAUGCCUGUUCGAGCGUCAUUUGUACCCUCAAGCUUUGCUUGGUGUUGGGCGUUUUGUCUUUGCUCGCCAAAGACUCGCCUUAAAACGAUUGGCAGCCGACCUCUUGGUUUCGCAGCGCAGCACAAUUUUGCGCUUGCAAAUCAGCAAGUUGGCACUCCAUCAAGAACAUUUUCUUACGUUUGACCUCGGAUCAGGUAGGGAUACCCGCUGAACUUAAGCAUAUCAAU